rnacentral:rRNA from 1 species
UACGGGGGGGGCAAGCGUUGUUCGGAAUUACUGGGCGUAAAGGGCGUGUAGGCGGCCAACUAAGUCCGACGUGAAAUCCCCAGGCUUAACCUGGGAACUGCGUCGGAUACUGGAUGGCUUGAAUCCGGGAGAGGGAUGCAGAAUUCCAGGUGUAGCAGUGAAAUGCGUAGAUAUCAGGAGGAACACCGAUGGCGAAGGCAGGUCUCUGGGCUGACACUGACGCUCAUGCACGAAAGCGUGGGGAGCAAACAGG